UUUUCCUCCUAUUUAGCUUAGUUGUCCUACUAGCUAAUAUACCACUAUAGGGAUAUAUAACAAUAUUAGGCUUACAAAGUGUGCUAUAUAUAUCUGUAGGGUAGUUCUAUAUAUCUACACGUAAAGAUUAAAAUACUAUAAUCUUAGGAAAUUGGUAGGGAGUUCAUAGAUAGCUGCUGCUAUGAUUUUAUGAUCGUGGUUCUGUGCAAAACGAUUGGAUUCAAGGUAUAGAUCCCAACACAACAAGUUCGUUGUUUCAACUUAGAGUUCAUUAAAUCCGGGCUUUAUUUAAAGGAAAGUAAAGUGGAAGAAGAUUAUUUUUUUUGCCAUAUUAGGCUAAAAGGGCGACGAGGCGAAAAGGAUUCAUGAAUAGUCGCUGACAGGUAUGUAAAGCCUACCUUUCUUUCUUUUGGCAUGACCUUUAUGAAACGAACAAAUAACACAUAUGUAUGCUUUUAAAGAAAAUCCUAUUCUUAAAGCCACUAGGAUGGCCAAUAUCUUUGACUUCCAUAAGCCAUUCCAUAUGUUUUGAUACGUACUUAUGAUGUCCGAAGUUCUAUUUGAUAUGUUUCCGAAUGUUGUUCGAAAAAUAUUUGAUAUGGCUAAAGUCUUGGAUAUAUAUUUUGAUACGUACAUAUGACUCUAAAGGCUCCAUUCGAUUUGAUCCAUAAGGAUAUUUGAAAGUUCCCUAAUAUGAUUGUUACUUGAAUUUCCAAAAAGAGCUUCUGAAACGUUUUUAGAACGUUCUGUACUUCAAAAGUUCGUAACUUUCGUAUACUAAUUCUGAUUGACCCGAAACUGAUUUCUGAGCCUUCGGAUGCCGUAAAUAUAUUGUCCAUCGAGUUUUGGAAUUUAUUUAAUUAUAUGCAUUUAGUUUCUCACUACUCCACUCGUGGAUGCCCUCAAUGCUGCUUUCACUGAGCCCGGGCCAGGAUAUGUUAUCACGCGUAUUCCACUGCAUUGUUCGCCGUGCCUCGAUGUGAGGGGGCAGGUAUACAUGUACAUGGGUUGUGGAGUAUGCUGUGCCAUGUACACACAUUCUGAUAUAUGAUAAUAUGAUAAGAUAUGGCCAUCGAAUAUGUUUGAUAUGUGCACAUUCUGAUAUGAUAUGAUAUGUUACGGAGCUAUUCCCUACUCUGGAGUAUGCUGUGUUGUGGCGCCAGUGACGGGGUGGCGACCACGUUCUGUUCACCGAGUCCCAUAAUGGGGGUCGGAUAUGGCAUAUGCUCUGACAUGUAUUAUCUCUGUUCUGUGAGUAAGCAUUUUGACAUUCCGGUUAUUGUACUUAUAUUUUGUACCCUCUGUUCAGAUUAUGAUUCUGUUUAUUGUACUUUAUGCUUUACAUACUCGGUACAUAUUCCGUACUGACCCCCUUUCUUCGGGGGCUGCGUUUCAUGCCACGCAGGUACAGACGACUGAUUUACCGAUCCGCUCGCUUAGGAUUAUAUUCUGCUGUCUUGGAGUGCUCGGUUGUUCGGAGCCUACGUCUUGGUACAGUCUUUUGCCAUUGUACAUAUGUAUGUGGUUCAGGGGUAUGACGGGGCCCUGUCCCGUCUUGUGAUUCGGUUGCUAUUUGUGGAGGUCUGUAGACAUACAUGUGGGUUGUGUAUAUGUUUUGGGUUGAUAUGAUUUGUGAUAGCCUUAUCGGCUUCCACGCGCUAAAUCUGCUUAGCUGUGAUAAUUAGUAACGCCAAUCGACUCUUACAUAUAUAUAUAUAUAUAUUCUGCUAAUAUGCUGGUUUGGGUUAUUGGGUACGUUCGAGUGUCCAACACGGACACUAGUCGCGGCCUACGGGGUUGGGUCGUGACACCAACACAAAAAGGGAAUAGUUAAGGGUGUUCGUGAGCCGGUAUGGUAUAGUUUUAAAUUGGUUUGAUAUUUUCUGGUAUUUUAAUUUUAUAAAUGUUAAGUAUAUUGUAUCGUACUUAAUUAAAUUUGGUAUGUUUAAUUUGGUUU